UCCUGGCUUGUCCUCUGGUUUCCCUCCCCUUCUGCCACACUAGGAAGCCCGUUUUGAACAUCUCAAGAAUCUUCCUCCUACUCUAGUCCUCAGAUUUAGCCACAUGGAGCCUCUCAGCAAGCAGCGCUCCUUGUCUCUGUUGCAACUAAUGCUCAGAGUCAAAGAGAAUUACUUCUCCACUGUGAGCAAGCAGGUGCUGUUCUGGGUGGCCAUUUUUCUCUUUGCAGUAGGAACCACCCAUGGUGGCAUUACUCAGACACCCAAAUUUCUGAUCAGUCAGUCAGGGCAGAAACUGACCUUGAAAUGUGAACAGAAUUUCAAUCAUGACACCAUGUACUGGUACCGACAGGAUUCAGGGAAAGGACUGCAACUGAUCUACUAUUCAAUAACAGAAAAAGAUCUCCAAAAAGGGGAGCUUUCUGAAGGCUAUGAUGCCUCUCGCGAGAAGAAGCCAUUUUUUCAUCUCACUGUGACAUCUGCCCAGAAGAACCAGAUGGCUGUCUAUCUCUGUGCUAGCAGCAUAGCACAGUGGGGAACAGCCACCUCCUCUCUAAGCAUAAACAUGUCCAAGUCCUGCUUCCCCACCAGGUGGCUCUUAGGUCCUCCGCCAACACCUGUCCUUUCACUUCAGCCAGGAUCUGAAACAAAGUAG